rnacentral:rRNA from 1 species
GACGAACCGUGCGAACGUUAUUCGGAAUCACUGGGCUUAAAGCGCGUGUAGGCGGGCCGCCGCGUCGGCUGCUGAAAUCCCCCGGCUCAACCGGGGAACGGGCGCCGAUACGACCGGCCUGGAGGGGCGUAGGGGGACCUGGAACUUCCGGUGGAGCGGUGAAAUGCGUUGAGAUCGGAAGGAACGCCCGUGGCGAAAGCGAGGUCCUGGACGCCUACUGACGCUGAGACGCGAAAGCCAGGGGAGCGAACGGG